AAGUCCUAAUUUUGAUUAAUCCUAAGAGAGGUCCUCGAUUUGUGUAUUAGGAUCAAUUAUCGGUAAUUUCUCUAUAUGUGAUUUUUAUAUUGAUCAGGGUCAUGAAGAGAUGAUUGUCUGCAUAUGAUAUCGAGUGAAAUAUUUUGUUAAAGAAAUUCAUAAAUCAAAGAAGAAAAUUGAUUUCUGUGCUUGAAUCAGUCAUCGGUAAAGGUAAGAAUCCCCGUACA
rnacentral:lncRNA from 1 species